rnacentral:rRNA from 1 species
UACGUAGGUGGCAAGCGUUGUCCGGAUUUACUGGGCGUAAAGAGCGCGCAGGCGGUCGUUUAAGUCGAAUGUGAAAGCCCCCGGCUCAACUGGGGAGGGUCAUUCGAUACUGAUCGACUUGAAGGCAGGAGAGGGAAGUGGAAUUCCGGGUGUAGUGGUGAAAUGCGUAGAUAUCCGGAGGAACACCAGUGGCGGAGGCGACUUCCUGGCCUGUUCUUGACGCUGAGGCGCGAAAGCUGGGGGAGCAAACGGG